GAUGAACGCUGGCGGCGUGCCUAAUACAUGCAAGUCGAGCGAACGGACGAGAAGCUUGCUUCUCUGAUGUUAGCGGCGGACGGGCGAGUAACACGUGGAUAACCUACCUAUAAGACUGGGAUAACUUCGGGAAACCGGAGCUAAUACCGGAUAAUAUUUUGAUCUGCAUGGUUCAAAAGUGAAAGACGGUCUUGCUGUCACUUAUAGAUGGAUCCGCGCUGCAUUAGCUAGUUGGUAAGGUAACGGCUUACCAAGGCAACGAUGCAUAGCCGACCUGAGAGGGUGAUCGGCCACACUGGAACUGAGACACGGUCCAGACUCCUACGGGAGGCAGCAGUAGGGAAUCUUCCGCAAUGGGCGAAAGCCUGACGGAGCAACGCCGCGUGAGUGAUGAAGGUCUUCGGAUCGUAAAACUCUGUUAUUAGGGAAGAACAUAUGUGUAAGUAACUGUGCACAUCUUGACGGUACCUAAUCAGAAAGCCACGGCUAACUACGUG
rnacentral:rRNA from 1 species